GGAUAACACUUAGAAAUAGGUGCUAAUACCGCAUAAGCGCACAGCUUCGCAUGAAGUGGUGUGAAAAACUCUGGUGGUAUACGAUGGUUCCGCGUCUGAUUAGCUUGUUGGUGGGGUAAUGGCUCACCAAGGCGACGAUCAGUAGCCGGCCUGAGAGGGUGAACGGCCACAUUGGGACUGAGACACGGCCCAAACUCCUACGGGAGGCAGCAGUGGGGAAUAUUGCACAAUGGGGGAAACCCUGAUGCAGCGACGCCGCGUGAGUGAAGAAGUAUUUCGGUAUGUAAAGCUCUAUCAGCAGGGAAGAAAUAGCGACCUUUGGGUCGCCAGACGGUACCUGAUUAAGAAGCCCCGGCUAACUACGUGCCAGCAGCCGCGGUAAUACGUAGGGGGCAAGCGUUAUCCGGAUUUACUGGGUGUGAAGGGAGCGUAGACGGCAGCACAAGUCUGAAGUGAAAUGCCGGGGCUUAACCCCGGAACUGCUUUGGAAACUGUGCAGCUAGAGUGCAGGAGAGGUAAGUGGAAUUCCUAGUGUAGCGGUGAAAUGCGUAGAUAUUAGGAGGAACACCAGUGGCGAAGGCGGCUUACUGGACUGUAACUGACGUUGAGGCUCGAAAGCGUGGGGAGCAAACAGGAUUAGAUACCCUGGUAGUCCACGCUGUAAACGAUGAUUACUAGGUGUUGGGGGACCAAGGUCCUUCGGU
rnacentral:rRNA from 1 species